CAAAAAGGACCCUUUCCCCAAAUUUUUAAUUGCAAAAUUUUAUUGUUUAUAUACAUGAGAGGAAAAUGUAGAUACACUGCAUUGUUUCUUAAACAUAUUAUCAAGCCCUAUCAUUAAAAUGUUUAGCUGACUUGUUAACAUAGAACUCACCUUCAAUGGAUAUAAUUAUAUAUCCUAAGAAUAAUGUCAAGCAUACCUUCCAAAUCCUUUAAGCUGAGUAAGUUAUACUUACCAUCAACACUUAAGAUUUUAAGUUUUUCUCUAAAAUUUGCAUUUUAAAAUUAAAUUUGUAAAAAAUCCUGUUUUAGCAAGCUUGAUUAUAUCAAUUGGAAAAACUUUAUUUUACAAGCAAUAGUAAUUGAAUCAAAUGAUAAUUAUAAUCCAGAGGAAGUAUUUUAUAACCAUAGCAAAUGCCAUUAUACAUACUGCCAAUACAGAUUUAAUAGACAAUACUGAACUGUACAAGAGUUAUUUAUUUUUCCUUAAUCUCAAAGCUAUUGUUAGUAAUACAAAAAGCCAUAUUAACAUUUUUCCAUUAGAAAACAAUGUGAUGUACAAAACUUUGGAUGAAAAGAUAUACGUCAAAUUUCAUUUAAGCACUUGGUGGAAAAUCCACCACUCCAUCAAUACCACCCAAAGUGUUUUAGGCAAUUAAAAUCAAAAUAAUGCAUCUUAAUUCCAGCUGUUAAAAAAACAAGCCUAGCAAUAUAGUUGGCUACACAGUAUUUUUGACUACUCACGAUAUAAACAGUAACCAUUCCACUUAUCACAGCUUGGUUGAGUUUAAAAUUUGUGUUUAAAAGGUCCAAGAUGACUGCAGUUUUACAAAAAUGGGCAGGGUGGAAAGUUGCAAACUUCAUGUGCUUCUGGAUAUCAAGAUUUGUUUUUAUACAAUAGUCACAGUUAAAAACACCCUGCUGGUAAUACAUAAUUACACUUUAUUAAGGUCAUAAACCAGCAAUAAACAAUAAAGCCUAUACAACUUGUAGUUCUACUUAAUCACUGACUGGUACAGCUAACAUGAGAUAAGUGAAAAGUUCCUAUGGUUUAAAUGAACUCCUAAGACUAUGAUCUUUUUUAAAAUCUGGGUAUUGGUGUUUUUUUUUUUUCCUCUCUUUCCUUCUUAAUCAAGACUUGUAGUGUUGUAAACCUGCCUCACAAAAUACAUCGUAAUAACUUUUCUUUAAAAAAACAAAAACAAAAACUAAGCCUUUACACCAUCAUUUCUAGUGGUACAUUAUUCUUGGCAAUGUUACGCACCACUUCGAUUUCCCCAUCGUGGCCCCUAUCACUUCAUUUGCUAUCCCUUUUGACCCACCCAUCUCCUUCAUAUAUGGGCAUGUCCAUAGAUUGACAAAGAAAGUUUACAUUUUCGAAUAAAGAUGCAAAGUAUGCAAAAAACA